CUUGUUUACAAACGUUCUGCUGAUGAAGUGCCUAUAUGCACACGAGGUUCAGCAGUUCUGACACGUUCCUCAGAAGAAAAGACAUAUGUUAAAACUCUCCAUUUCUACCCAUUACAGUGAGUAAUUUCGGAUGAAAAAAGUCCUCAAAGGGAAACAUUUUGUCGGUAUGGGAGAGGGAAGACAAAAAACAGCAGAAGUACUCAGCAAGAAGAAGGAACAAACAACGUGAAUCAAUCGCAAAAACAUGAUUCCAUUAGGUAACAUUCUGGAAAAGGAGAGCUGGAGACAGAAGACAGAACAGUUGUUGCCAGGGGUCAGAGAUGCAGGAAGGUGAGACGCGGAGUUUGUCUGCAGAGGUGGACUGUGACUGCGAUGGGGAGUACGUGAAUCACAUGUUUUAAAACUCACACGAGGAAUCCAGCUGUGGGGUAGAACCAGGACUUUUCAGGCCCAUCCGCAGGCAAUGACAAAGGCUUUACCUGGCCGGCCUCCAGGGGACACCGUCCUCAGACACAGACCUGCUGGGCAGACCGGGACGGCACUGCAGUCAGGGCCUCAGGACCCUGGCUGGUCAUGAACUUGUGCAGCCUCGGUCUCCACAUCUGAGGCCUCGCUCAGGUGCCUCGGCCAAGAGCUCCUUACAGGGUGAGGGAGAGGAGGAGCUGAAGUCACUGCUCAUCUUGGCUCAGUGCCGGGUACUUUCUUGCUCCCGGACCUCCCACCGCACCCUCCUCCUGACCGAGGACCGUGAAACUGCCGGAGCUCGCUGUCUGCGGAUCCCUGGGAAGUGGGCUGACCCCACAUCUGUGCUGAUGCACCUGACCCCUGCCCUGUGUACUGUGGGCGAUGCGUGGGGGCUAGGUGCCUCCUCGGUUAGGCUCUGGCUGCACCAUCGAGGUACAUGAUGAGAGGUUCGGUUACUUUCACCUCAGCCGUUGCUUUAACCAGGUACUUCGACACCUGGCAGCUGGGCAUCUGACCUAACUGCACACCAAGAAAGGGGAAAAGUUGGUAUUAUGCUGCAUAGGUUUAGACAACAGAAUUUUUUUUAAGAAAGCAAGCUCAGUGGGCAGGAAUGGCUUUGAAAGCUGAAGGGACAUGAGUCUGUUUCCCGAGUCAGCAAAGUAAGGAAGCAGUGCUGAAGGCAGACACCCUCGUGCCUGGAUUUCCCAACAGAAGCA